rnacentral:rRNA from 1 species
GGUGKUUAGAUUUAAUAUUAAACAUCCAGCCUGCCCUAUGAUUUAUAAUUAAAUGGCCGCGGUAUUUUGACCGUGCGAAGGUAGCAUAAUCAAUUGUCUAUUAAUUGUAGACUUGUAUGAAUGGUUAGAUAUAUUUUUUCUAUUUUAAAUAAUUAUUAUGAAUUUAUGAUUUUAUUAAAAAUAAUAAAAUGKGAGUUUGGGACGAGAAGACCCUAUUGAGCUUUAUAUUAUAUUUAAAUUGAUAAGAUUGGGUUUUAUAAUUUUUUUAUAUUAUUCUACUGGGGCGGUAUUUUAUGAAAAACAUAAAUAAUUAUUUAUUAUAAAGAUCCAUUAGAGAUGUGAUUUGAUGAUUAAGUUACUGUAGGGAUAACAGCGUUAUGUAAUUUGAGAGUUCUUAUUGAUGAUUAUGUUUGCGACCUCGAUGUUGAUUUAAGAUUCCCUAAAGAGGUAGAAAGUUUAUAGGGUGGUUUGUUCAACCAUUAAAUUCUUAUG